CAGGCAUCAGCGAAGUCGGGCUAGAAAGCGGCGUCCAAUGGCUUCAGCUCCACCGUCGCUCUCCACCGCGCGACCUCCCACGGCGGCCUCCCCCCAUGGCGACCGCCGCCGCGGCGCUCUCCCUCCUCUCCCUUCCUGCGGGGCUCGGCCUCCGUCCCGCGGCGGCCUCCGGGCCCUCCGCUCCGUCCCUCUCCGGCGGUGCGUCGUCAGGGCCGCCCUCUCGACCGCCGACCGCUCGGCGGCGCCCGUCGAGAGCGGCGAGGGCAAGGAGCUCCUGCUUGAGGUCAGGGACCUGACGGCCGUGAUUGCCGAGACGGGGCAGGAGAUCCUCAAGGGCGUUGACCUCACCAUCUACGAGGGAGAGGUUCAUGCGAUAAUGGGGAAGAAUGGUUCUGGGAAGAGCACAUUUGCAAAGGUUCUCGUUGGGCAUCCAGAUUAUGAAGUAACCGGCGGCAGUAUGAUGUUUAAAGGCGAGAAUUUGCUUGAAAUGGAACCUGAGGACCGGUCACUUGCUGGGCUAUUUAUGAGCUUCCAAUCACCAAUUGAAAUACCCGGUGUCAGCAAUGCUGACUUUCUCAACAUGGCAUACAAUGCUCGAAGAAGAAAGCUUAAUCAACCUGAGCUUAGUCCAAUUGAGUUUUGGGCUUAUGUAUAUCCAAAACUUGAUCUUCUGAACAUGAAGGCGGACUUCCUGAACAGAAAUGUCAAUGAAGGAUUUAGUGGUGGAGAGAGAAAGCGGAAUGAAAUUUUACAACUCGCGGUUCUUGGGGCCGAAUUAGCUAUAUUGGAUGAAAUUGAUUCUGGGUUGGAUGUUGAUGCACUUCGAGAUGUGGCAAAGGCAGUAAAUGGACUUUUGACUCCUAAGAAUUCUGUUUUGAUGAUUACUCAUUAUUUAAGACUCCUGGAGUUCAUAGAACCUAGAUAUAUCCAUGUAAUGGAGAACGGAAAGAUUGUGAAGACUGGUGACAUCUCCAUAGCUAAAACUCUUGAAAAGGAGGGCUUCAAGGGAGUAUCUGAGAUGUAACUGCGUAUCAGCUUGAGAAGAUUUGACUUUUUAUGACAAGGCAGGAAGAAAGCGCAAUUGCAGAGACUCUCUUCAUUGCUCCAAGCUUCCUUAGCUUUGCGCCAUCCUUGGUCAUAAGCCCUGAAAAAUGAAGAAUGCAGAUACAUUUGGGCCAAUGAUCCAUUUGACAGGUUUUGAAAUGACUGGAGUUUCUCAAAGAAAGCCCCCCGAUAAGAAAAGACAGGUGUCCUGCCUUACAGAGGCGUGAAAUAUGUAUUGAUCUGCAUUAUGAAUGGUUUGGUUGAUGUAGAUCUUUUAAUUUAUUUGAGCAGCCUUGGCUUUGUGGUAGUCUCAAUUUUGUCAUUUAUGCAAAUCCCUUUAUUUUCCUCUUCAAAUUUAAGUUGACAAAGCAUGAAUUUUAUAUCUGAAUUGGGAACUUUUUUUUU